GAGGGUGUAGCUCAGUGGUAGAGUGCAUGCUUAGCAUGCAUGAGGUCAUGGGUUCAAUCCCCAGUACCUCCA
rnacentral:tRNA from 1 species